rnacentral:rRNA from 1 species
UACGUAGGGGGCAAGCGUUGUCCGGAAUCAUUGGGCGUAAAGAGCGCGUAGGCGGCCCUGUAAGUCCGCUGUGAAAGUCAAGGGCUCAACCCUUGGAUGCCGGUGGAUACUGCAGGGCUAGAGUCCGGAAGAGGCGAGUGGAAUUCCUGGUGUAGCGGUGAAAUGCGCAGAUAUCAGGAGGAACACCGAUGGCGAAGGCAGCUCGCUGGGACGGUACUGACGCUGAGGAGCGAAAGCAUGGGGAGCGAACAGG